rnacentral:tRNA from 1 species
GGACGCGUAGCUCAGCUGGUUAGAGCGUUACCUCGACAUGGUAAAGGUCACAGGUUCGAUCCCUGUCGCGUCCA